AUGGAAUGAGCGGCGGACGGGUGAGUAACACGUAGGCAACCUGCCUGUAAGACUGGGAUAACUCGUGGAAACGCGAGCUAAUACCGGAUAACACUUUUCAUCUCCUGAUGAGAAGUUGAAAGGCGGCUUUUGCUGUCACUUACAGAUGGGCCUGCGGCGCAUUAGCUAGUUGGUAAGGUAAUGGCUUACCAAGGCGACGAUGCGUAGCCGACCUGAGAGGGUGAUCGGCCACACUGGGACUGAGACACGGCCCAGACUCCUACGGGAGGCAGCAGUAGGGAAUCUUCCGCAAUGGACGAAAGUCUGACGGAGCAACGCCGCGUGAGUGAUGAAGGUUUUCGGAUCGUAAAACUCUGUUGUUAGGGAAGAACAAGUGCCAUAGUAACUGAUGGCACCUUGACGGUACCUAACCAGAAAGCCACGGCUAACUACGUGCCAGCAGCCGCGGUAAUACGUAGGUGGCAAGCGUUGUCCGGAAUUAUUGGGCGUAAAGCGCUCGCAGGCGGUUCUUUAAGUCUGAUGUGAAAUCUUACGGCUCAACCGUAAACGUGCAUUGGAAACUGGGGAACUUGAGUGCAGAAGAGGAGAGUGGAAUUCCACGUGUAGCGGUGAAAUGCGUAGAGAUGUGGAGGAACACCAGUGGCGAAGGCGACUCUCUGGUCUGUAACUGACGCUGAGGAGCGAAAGCGUGGGGAGCGAACAGGAUUAGAUACCCUGGUAGUCCACGCCGUAAACGAUGAGUGCUAGGUGUUAGGGGGUUUCCGCCCCUUAGUGCUGAAGUUAACGCAUUAAGCACUCCGCCUGGGGAGUACGGCCGCAAGGCUGAAACUC
rnacentral:rRNA from 1 species